rnacentral:rRNA from 1 species
CAGCAGCCGCGGGAAUACGUAGGGUCCGAGCGUUGUCCGGAAUUAUUGGGCGUAAAGGGCUCGUAGGCGGUUUGUCGCGUCGGGAGUGAAAACCAGCAGCUUAACUGCUGGCCUGCUUUCGAUACGGGCAGACUUGAGGCAUUCAGGGGAGAACGGAAUUCCUGGUGUAGCGGUGAAAUGCGCAGAUAUCAGGAGGAACACCGGUGGCGAAGGCGGUUCUCUGGGAAUGUUCUGACGCUGAGGAGCGAAAGUGUGGGGAGCGAACAGGAUUAGAUACCCGGGUAGUCCUGUCUCUUAUACA